UACGUAGGGGGCGAGCGUUGUCCGGAAUGACUGGGCGUAAAGGGUGCGUAGGCGGCCUGAAGGGUCCUGGGUGAAAGGCCCCGGCUUAACCGGGGAGGGUCCCAGGAAACCGGCAGGCUAGAGGGCUGGAGAGGGUCGCGGAAUUCCCGGUGUAGCGGUGGAAUGCGUAGAUAUCGGGAAGAACACCCGUGGCGAAGGCGGCGGCCUGGACAGUACCUGACGCUGAGGCACGAAAGCUGGGGGAGCGAACAGGAUUAGAAACCC
rnacentral:rRNA from 1 species